GACGAACGCUGGCGGCGUGCCUAAUACAUGCAAGUCGAACGCUUCUUUCCUCCCGAGUGCUUGCACUCAAUUGGAAAGAGGAGUGGCGGACGGGUGAGUAACACGUGGGUAACCUACCCAUCAGAGGGGGAUAACACUUGGAAACAGGUGCUAAUACCGCAUAACAGUUUAUGCCGCAUGGCAUAAGAGUGAAAGGCGCUUUCGGGUGUCGUUGAUGGAUGGACCCGCGGUGCAUUAGCUAGUUGGUGAGGUAACGGCUCACCAAGGCCACGAUGCAUAGCCGACCUCAGAGGGUGAUCGGCCACACUGGGACUGAGACACGGCCCAGACUCCUACGGGAGGCAGCAGUAGGGAAUCUUCGGCAAUGGACGAAAGUCUGACCGAGCAACGCCGCGUGAGUGAAGAAGGUUUUCGGAUCGUAAAACUCUGUUGUUAGAGAAGAACAAGGACGUUAGUAACUGAACGUCCCCUGACGGUAUCUAACCAGAAAGCCACGGCUAACUACGUG
rnacentral:rRNA from 1 species